GGGGGUGUGGUUUGGAAACGUUCGUGAGAACGCCUGCCUUGCACGCAGGAGGUCAUCGGUUCGAGCCCGUUAUCCUUCC
rfam:Actinobacteria bacterium CG2_30_50_142 cg2_3.0_scaffold_3382_c, whole genome shotgun sequence.